GAUGAACGCUGGCGGCGUGCCUAAUACAUGCAAGUCGAGCGAACAGACGAGGCUCUUGCUUCUCUGACGUUAGCGGCGGACGGGUGAGUAACACGUGGAUAACCUACCUAUAAGACUGGGAUCACUUCGGGAAACCGGAGCUAAUACCGGAUAAUAUAUUGAACCGCAUGGUUCAAUAGUGAAAGACGGAUUUGCUGUCACUUAUAGAUGGAUCCGCGCCGCAUUAGCUAGUUGGUAAGGUAACGGCUUACCAAGGCUACGAUGCGUAGCCGACCUGAGAGGAUGAUCGGCCACACUGGAACUGAGACACGGUCCAGACUCCUACGGGAGGCAGCAGUAGGGAAUCUUCCGCAAUGGGCGAAAGCCUGACGGAGCAACGCCGCGUGAGUGAUGAAGGUCUUCGGAUCGUAAAGCUCUGUUAUUAGGGAAGAACAGAUGUGUAAGUAACUAUGCACGUCUUGACGGUACCUAAUCAGAAAGCCACGGCUAACUACGUG
rnacentral:rRNA from 1 species